AGUGAACGCUGGCGGUAGGCCUAACACAUGCAAGUCGAACGGCAGCACAGUAAGAUCUUGCUCUUACGGGUGGCGAGUGGCGGACGGGUGAGGAAUACAUCGGAAUCUACUUUUUCGUGGGGGAUAACGUAGGGAAACCUACGCUAAUACCGCAUACGACCUACGGGUGAAAGCAGGGGAUCUUCGGACCUUGCGCGAUUGAAUGAGCCGAUGUCGGAUUAGCUAGUUGGCGGGGUAAAGGCCCACCAAGGCGACGAUCCGUAGCUGGUCUGAGAGGAUGAUCAGCCACACUGGAACUGAGACACGGUCCAGACUCCUACGGGAGGCAGCAGUGGGGAAUAUUGGACAAUGGGCGCAAGCCUGAUCCAGCCAUACCGCGUGGGUGAAGAAGGCCUUCGGGUUGUAAAGCCCUUUUGUUGGGAAAGAAAAGCAGCAGGUUAAUACCCCGCUGUUCUGACGGUACCCAAAGAAUAAGCACCGGCUAACUUCGUG
rnacentral:rRNA from 1 species